UACGUAGGUGGCAAGCGUUGUCCGGAUUUAUUGGGUUUAAAGGGUGCGUAGGCGGCUUUGUAAGUCAGUGGUGAAAUACUCCGGCUUAACUGGAGGGGUGCCAUUGAUACUGCGGAGCUUGAGUACAGAUGAGGUAGGCGGAAUUGACGGUGUAGCGGUGAAAUGCAUAGAUAUCGUCAAGAACACCGAUGGCGAAGGCAGCCCCCCUGGGCUAGCACUGACGCUCAGGCACGAAAGCGUGGGGAGCAAACAGG
rnacentral:rRNA from 1 species